rnacentral:rRNA from 1 species
UACGUAGGGGGCAAGCGUUGUCCGGAUUUAUUGGGCGUAAAGCGCGUGUAGGCGGCCAGAUAGGUCUGCUGUGAAAACUCGAGGCUCAACCUCGAGACGCCGAUGGAAACCAUCUGACUAGAGUCCGGAAGAGGAGAGUGGAAUUCCUGGUGUAGCGGUGAAAUGCGCAGAUAUCAGGAAGAACACCCGUGGCUAAGGCGGCUCUCUAGUACGGUACUGACGCUGAGACGCGAAAGCGUGGGGAGCGAACAGG